UACGUAAGGGGCAAGCGUUAUCCGGAAUUACUGGGUGUAAAGGGUGAGUAGGCGGCAUGGUAAGCCAGAUGUGAAAGCCUUGGGCUUAACCCGAGGAUUGCAUUUGGAACUAUCAAGCUAGAGUACAGGAGAGGAAAGCGGAAUUCCUAGUGUAGCGGUGAAAUGCGUAGAUAUUAGGAAGAACACCAGUGGCGAAGGCGGCUUUCUGGACUGAAACUGACGCUGAGGCACGAAAGCGUGGGGAGCGAACAGG
rnacentral:rRNA from 1 species